GGUGGCUCAGUGGCAGAGCACUUGCCUUGCAUGCAUGAGGCCCUGGGUUUGAUUCCUCAGCACCA
rfam:Dipodomys ordii contig_23278, whole genome shotgun sequence.